CACAGUUCUCCAGGGUCAGCACAAGUAGGAAACCAUUGGCUCCUAGGUCUGAAGGAGAAGGGUGAGUUUCAAAAUCUGUGAAGAGUAAAUGAAUGGAGGAGGUGGCCUGCCAGGACUGUGGCCGUGGGCAAAGGCAGACAGCAUCCCAGCAGGAAGGAGCAGGAAAACAAACACCCAAUCUUCAUUUUCUUCUCUGUUUUGAUCUCCUACAGAUAUCUCUCACCAGACAGCACUCAGGAGUAGGGCUUGAGUUCCAACUGGAAGCCAGUUGGUGGCCAAAGAGCUGACCAGUGGCAAGCGUGUGAUUUAUGGAGUAAGAGGCAGUGGUGAGAUUCAUGCCCUGGGCUAUAGACAUGGAAAACCAACAAGGAAGAAUAAUAAUAAACGAAAGUGAAAGUGAGCAGCAAGGCAGGACCAAGAAAGUGGGGUGGGGAGCAAGCUGUGCCAUAUUUAGAUCCCGAUAAGGUUGCUCCUUGAGCCCCAGAAUGUUCUCUGCUGGGCAGAGCCAAAGGCAGUUGGUUCAGCUUGGAAGAACUUUUGGGAGCAACGUGGCCUAAAAUCUGUUGUGCUGGCCCUCAACUUCUUUAUGUUUCGAGUGUUGUCCUAGACCAGAGGUCAGGGUCUAUUGGUCCCUUCAAGGGACAAAUAGUAAGUAUUAUAAAUUUUGUGGCAGUUCUAUUACACUGUCAUCAGAGCAGGACAGCAGCACAGACUACAUGUGAAUGAGUGAUGUGACUGUGUCCUAAUAUAAGUUUAUAUAUGGAAACAGGCAGCAGGCUGGCGGGCCAUCGUUGGCCAACUCCUGCUUAAGAAUUUUUUUUCCUCUUUUUGCCUUCUGAUGGAUUUUUGAUCUAUCUGUUCUUGAAUGAACCCUUCUGCCAGGCCUGGCACCUAACAAAUAAACAAUCUGGACCUCUUUCAGAGUACCGGGAAUGAAUGAGUCAGUAGAUUCUGCUAUAAUUCCUGUAGGUGUCUAACAAUGAAUACAUGUGUAGCUGACUAACUAUUAACGAGAGAUAUACAGCAGGAAUUUCCAGCUCCAACAUUUGAUCACAAGUAUUUUCCCGAAAAUAUGUAAGGUUAAAGGAAAGUUUUCCUUUCAUGCCAGGAACAUAUUCUAGUCUGAUGAAAUGAAGUCUGAGCUUUAAAAUCAGUUUCCAGCUGUUUGGUUUGCUGGGCGUUUUCUCUCCUGUCAAACACAGAUCAGCCUCCUAGGUAAUGACAGCUAUUACCAUGACAAGGGCUAACAAAAAUACACGCACACUUGAAACUUUUUCUUUCUCUUGCUUUGUUCUAUUGUCCUCUUGAAAACAAUCGGUUCUUCAAGUCUGUUCCCAAACUGCAGGCUUUUCAUUUGAGUUCUCUAAAUGCUCCUUGAGGAAAACCAAAAUAAAUUCCAGACAAUUUACGUAUUCACCGGGACUCUGAUUGCAAGCAACAGAAACUGAAUUCAAACUAAGUUGGUGACAAACCCAGGAUGGGGAGAAGCCCCUUUAAGGAGGGGACGAAGUAUACCCCAUUGGACACAGCUAAAUGGACCUGUCUUCUGGCGAGAUGAAAGAAACUGGGACACCUCUCUGACCGACCCUGCCUAAACAUCCAUUUAUUGCUGCAGAGGUCUGGCUGCCUGGGUCUUUCUGAAGAUCUGAUGUGAACACUCUCAGAAUGCGGCUGAAAUUCCCUCCUGGGCCUAGUUGCAAAAGACCAGUGACCCCUGGAAAAUCAGAAUGCCUCCUGGACACCGUCCUGGAAAACUGAACUCUAGGUAUUUUUGCUUAUAGAAGGUAAGCCGAUAUUUUAUUUUUUCUAACAAACACGGGAACACCUUCAUCCACACUGCCACCUUGUGAAAAUCCUCUAAAAAACGGGCAGAGAUCUUGGUAAGGAGUUUUAGAUGGCCUCUCAGGAUUGCUGGUGGCCCUGGCAACUCCAACUGGUUCCCGAUGCCUCUCACUGCCCAUCUUCCUCUUUGGUUAUUAUCUCAUAAGGUCACUAAUUAUGAUUUUUUUCUCAUUCUCAGUUUUGAACUAGUAACCCUUUGCCUCGUAUCUUCAUUAUUAACCAGACAGUCACCCGAAAACAACUCCUCAUAUCCUCACCUUACUGGAUACCAACCAGCUCAGACUAAAAAAGCCAAAGAGUUCCUGUAGGCGCCACUCCCCUCCCCCAUUCCCCGUCCUCCUCCCACGCAGCCCCUCCCCCCACGGGAAAUAGUCAAGGAGAUACCACGCCCACCAUCCCAUCUCCUUAUAAUA